CAAGACGACUAGAGUAUUAGGAAGAAAAAGUUAAUAUCAUUGGUGUUCAUCGCAAACAUUGUCUCAUUCGGUGUGUUAUUUCAGAUUCUCAUCCAUGGAUAUCCGUCAACAAUUUAGUGUUCACACCGAGUCUCAACCCACCACCAACUAUCUCUCGAAGAAGGAGUCAAAUCUGCUAACCAUUUUGUCUGAGGAGUGAGGCGACGUAUACGGUUCAGGAAGGUGCAGAGGAAUCCGUCUUGGUCAUGGCCAAGAUAAGUGUGUGGAGGUGCAAGAAUAUGGAAGGUUGUUUGACCUUGGUUGGUGCAGCACUUUAUGCUCAGGUUGGCCCAUUGAGGUGUAUGAACUACAAUAGUGAAGUUAGCCCGCUAAGGGAUCGACUGUAGCAGAGAUGACAGGUCUUGGAUGUCUGCAGCCUCCAAAGCCACGAAGAAGAAUUUGUAAUAGUAGAGCAAUUUAUAAAUAAGCUACAACUUCAAUGUCCUAUAAAUUUAACAGAAUUAUUUUGUGCUAUGAAGCCUACAAGUGCAUUAAAAUUGUCAUUGAUCA